rnacentral:rRNA from 1 species
CUCCUUUGACGUUAGCGGCGGACGGGUAAGUAACACGUGGGUAACCUACCUAUAAGACUGGGAUAACUUCGGGAAACCGGAGCUAAUACCGGAUAACAUUUGGAACCGCAUGGUUCUAAAGUGAAAGAUGGUUUUGCUAUCACUUAUAGAUGGACCCGCGCCGUAUUAGCUAGUUGGUAAGGUAACGGCUUACCAAGGCGACGAUACGUAGCCGACCUGAGAGGGUGAUCGGCCACACUGGAACUGAGACACGGUCCAG